rnacentral:rRNA from 1 species
GCAGCCCGACUCCGUGAAGCUGGAUUCGCUGUAAUCGCGCAUCAGCCAUGGCGCGGUGAAUACGUUCCCGGGCCUUGUACACACCGCCCGUCAAGCCAUGGAAGCCGGGGGCGCUUGAAGUGCGUUGCCGCAAGGCGCGCCCUAGAGCGAAACCGGUGACUGGGGCUAAGUCGUAACAAGGUACC